rnacentral:rRNA from 1 species
UGGGGAAUAUUGGACAAUGGGGGCAACCCUGAUCCAGCGAUGCCGCGUGAGUGAAGAAGGCCUUCGGGUCGUAAAGCUCUUUAGGUUGGGAAGAAGGUUAUAGGAGGAAAUGCUUGUAACUUGACGGUACCGACAGAAUAAGCACCGGCAAACUCUGUGCCAGCAGCCGCGGUAAUACAGAGGGUGCGAGCGUUAAUCGGAUUUACUGGGCGUAAAGGGCGCGUAGGCGGUUGAAUGAGUGUGAUGUGAAAGCCCCGGGCUUAACCUGGGAAGAGCAUCGCAAACGAUUCGACUAGAGUAUAUGAGAGGGUGGCGGAAUUUCCGGUGUAGCGGUGAAAUGCGUAGAGAUCGGAAGGAACGUCGAUGGCGAAGGCAGCCACCUGGCAUAAUACUGACGCUGAGGCGCGAAAGCGUGGGGAGCGAACAGG